rnacentral:rRNA from 1 species
CCUACGGGGGGCAGCAGUGGGGAAUAUUGGACAAUGGGGGGAACCCUGAUCCAGCCAUGCCGCGUGUGUGAAGAAGGCCCUCGGGUUGUAAAGCACUUUCAGUGAGGAAGAACGCCUGGUGGUUAAUACCCAUCAGGAAAGACAUCACUCACAGAAGAAGCACCGGCUAACUCCGUGCCAGCAGCCGCGGUAAUACGGAGGGUGCGAGCGUUAAUCGGAAUUACUGGGCGUAAAGCGCGCGUAGGUGGCUUGAUAAGCCGGUUGUGAAAGCCCCGGGCUCAACCUGGGAACGGCAUCCGGAACUGUCAAGCUAGAGUGCAGGAGAGGAAGGUAGAAUUCCCGGUGUAGCGGUGAAAUGCGUAGAGAUCGGGAGGAAUACCAGUGGCGAAGGCGGCCUUAUGGACUGACACUGACACUGAGGUGCGAAAGCGUGGGUAGCAAACAGGAUUAGAUACCCUUGUAGUC